CCAGUCCUGAGUCUCAGUUUUCCAUCUCUACAAUGUGGACAAAUGGAGACAGUAAUGCUACCUCGUCUACCUGUUAUAAAGAGGAAAGGCAAUCAUAUAAAUGAUUACUUUUAUGAUUUUCCUUUGGAAUGAUGUGGCUUUGAGAAUUCAUUUAAUUGACAAUUGGUAACAAUCUGUUGGCAGUUUUCCUGAACACUUGGGGAUUCUUGUGAGAUGGAGAAAUUGAGCUAUCUGCAACCACUUAGAAACUGCCUUGAGGCCUGUGCCAGUGUGAUGGAAGCGGAAUUCUAACCCAGGUCCUUGGGGUUGACUGUUUGCAACAUCCGCCGCCUCACUGUCAACCGAGCCUGGAUUUCUGCUGUGAAACUCGGAAACACAUAAGAGAUUCAGGGACGUUUGCGUGAACAAAUAUCCUGGGCCCUAACUGGUGCAGUGCUUCCUCUCAAAAGCCUUAUGGCAGCCCUUCUAGGGGACCCAUCUACUUCAAAGGGCUCUUCCUCCAGCCACGUGAGCUUCUGGGUUGCUUUUCAGAAUCUCCAGCAGAGUCCCACCUCAUAGUCUUUGUACUUGCUCUUCCCUCUACUGGGAGCAGCCUCUCUUCCCCCAGGUACCUGCCUGGCAUUCUCUUUCACUGUUCCAGUGGCACCUCCUGGGCAAGGCUUUCCCCAACCCUGACUCCCUACCUGACCCCCUAUCUAAAUAACACAAUCCAUGCCCUCU